rnacentral:rRNA from 1 species
GUGGGGAAUAUUGGACAAUGGGCGAAAGCCUGAUCCAGCCAUGCCGCGUGUGUGAAGAAGGUCUUCGGAUUGUAAAGCACUUUAAGUUGGGAGGAAGGGCAGUAAGUUAAUACCUUGCUGUUUUGACGUUACUGACAGAAUAAGCACCGGCUAACUUCGUGCCAGCAGCCGCGGUAAUACGAAGGGUGCAAGCGUUAAUCGGAAUUACUGGGCGUAAAGCGCGCGUAGGUGGUUUUGUAAGUUGGAGGUGAAAUCCCCGGGCUCAACCUGGGAACUGCCUCCAAAACUGCAUGACUAGAGUACGGUAGAGGGUAGUGGAAUUUCCUGUGUAGCGGUGAAAUGCGUAGAUAUAGGAAGGAACACCAGUGGCGAAGGCGACUACCUGGACUGAUACUGACACUGAGGUGCGAAAGCGUGGGGAGCAAACAGGAUUAGAAACCCCUGUAGUCC